AGUAACACGUGGAUAACCUACCUAUAAGACUGGGAUAACUUCGGGAAACCGGAGCUAAUACCGGAUGAUAUUUUGAACCGCAUGGUUCAAAAGUGAAAGACGGUCUUGCUGUCACUUAUAGAUGGAUCCGCGCUGCAUUAGCUAGUUGGUAAGGUAACGGCUUACCAAGGCAACGAUGCAUAGCCGACCUGAGAGGGUGAUCGGCCACACUGGAACUGAGACACGAUCCAG
rnacentral:rRNA from 1 species